GGGGCAUUCGCUUAACGGUAAAGCAUCCCCCUUCAUAAGCACAUCUCGUGCUUUGAGGGGUGUUUAUGAAGGGGAAGAUCGAGGUUCGAAUCCUCGGUGCCUCA
rnacentral:tRNA from 1 species